rnacentral:lncRNA from 1 species
UGAAUCUCUCAGUACAGAUAGGCAAAUCGUGAUUACUUCCAUUAAAAUAGGUUUUUUGUUUUGUUUUGUUUUCCCUGUAGAUUUUAAAAGACCAUGGAGAGGCAUUUCUUGUUGGCAACCAACUCAGUUGGGCAGACAUACAGCUACUAGAAGCCAUUUUGAUGGUGGAAGAAGUCAGUGCUCCUGUGUUGUCUGACUUCCCUCUGCUGCAGGUAGGACGCUGGUCAGUGUGGACACAGCCCAGGGAGGUGCAGCUGGAACAAAGACUGCAACAAUACACACCUCGAAGCUGAACUUAAAACUUAGGAGAAACCGUUCCUUAGAGUAUCGUCAUCUUCACUCUGGUUGUGUGAUCUCGCUUACACUGUAGGGUCCGUCAGGGAAUGAAACUUUACAUGAUGGGGAAAUGGGGAUUUGAGGUUCCAAUAUGAACACUUAAACUGCUGGGGCAUGUAGCUCACAGGUAAAGCACAGGGCCAGCGUGCAAUGAGGUCUUGGUUCAGUCCCUAAUAAAUGCAAAACUCUCAGAACAUUCGGGACUUUUUUUUCAAUACUCUGAACAGUUUUACUUCCUGAAGCAAGAAUAUCGAUCUUUUGUUCUUCUUUCCUGCCUCCUAUAAGAUGGCGCUGUUCACUUUUAGUGGUCCUGAUGCUGGGCCAUC